rnacentral:rRNA from 1 species
GUCCUACGGGAGGCAGCAGUGGGGAAUAUUGCACAAUGGGGGGAACCCUGAUGCAGCGACGCCGCGUGAGUGAAGAAGUAUUUCGGUAUGUAAAGCUCUGUCAGCAGGGAAGAAGAAAGACGAUACCUGACCAAGAAGCCCCGGCUAACUACGUGCCAGCAGCCGCGGUAAUACGUAGGGGGCAAGCGUUGUCCGGAUUUACUGGGUGUAAAGGGAGCGUAGACGGCAGGGCCAGACUGGAGUGAAAGGCAGGGGCCCAACCCCUGGACUGAACUGGA